GAGUUCAAGAGUACGUGAAACUGCUUAGAGGUUAAGCCCGAUGAACCUGAAUAUCCGUUAUGGGAAAUUCACCACUACUAGAAGAUUAUUAUUUAUAAUAGUUCUCGAAUUGUGUGCAAUUUUCCCAUAUAAGGACAUUGUAAUCUGUUAAUGUCUAAAUGCGUAUCAUAAGAUUUAUUACACCUGUUUAUUGAUAGAUGUGUAAAUAUUUUGAAAUAAAUGUAAUUUAAUCGGAUAUGCCAUCGACAGAUUUUUUAUAUAUUACACUUAAAUCUUUUUUGAUUUUAUAAUAAUUUGUUAUGCCAAUGGUGUUGACAUAUUCAUUAUAUGUGUAUAUAUGAUUAACAAUGCUUAUAGAUUCAGGAUACCUUCGGGACCCGUCUUGAAACACGGACCAAGGAGUCUAACAUAUGUGCAAGUCUUUGGAUAUUUAAAAUCUAAAGGCGUAAUUAACUUAACUGUUAAUGGGAUCAGUUUAUAUUUUUUAUAAAUAUAUAUUCAAUCCCGGGGCGUUCCAUACAGUUAUGUAUGAUAGUAUUUAUAUUAUUUAUGCCUCUAACUGGAGC
rnacentral:rRNA from 1 species